GAUGAACGCUGGCGGCGUGCCUAAUACAUGCCAGUCGAGCGAACAGACGAGGAGCUUGCUCCUUCGACGUUAGCGGCGGACGGGUGAGUAACACGUAGGUAACCUACCUAUAAGACUGGGAUAACUUCGGGAAACCGGAGCUAAUACCGGAUAAUAUUUCGAACUGCAUGGUUCGAUAGUGAAAGAUGGCUUUGCUAUCACUUAUAGAUGGACCUGCGCCGUAUUAGCUAGUUGGUAAGGUAACGGCUUACCAAGGCAACGAUACGUAGCCGACCUGAGAGGGUGAUCGGCCACACUGGAACUGAGACACGGUCCAGACUCCUACGGGAGGCAGCAGUAGGGAAUCUUCCGCAAUGGGCGAAAGCCUGACGGAGCAACGCCGCGUGAGUGAUGAAGGUCUUCGGAUCGUAAAACUCUGUUAUUAGGGAAGAACAAACGUGUAAGUAACUGUGCACGUCUUGACGGUACCUAAUCAGAAAGCCACGGCUAACUACGUG
rnacentral:rRNA from 1 species